rnacentral:rRNA from 1 species
UAUGUGAUCGUCUCUCGCAUAUCAAUAAGCGGAGGAAAAGAAACUAACAAGGAUUCCCCUAGUAACGGCGAGUGAAGCGGGAAGAGCUCAAAUUUGAAAUCUUAAAGGGUUUCCCUUUACGAAUUGUAGUUUAAAGAAGUGUUUUCUGUUGAGGUUUUGGUAAAAGUUCUUUGGAAUAGGACAUCAUAGAGGGUGAGAAUCCCGUAUUUGACCUUUACUUUCAACUUUGUGAUACACUUUCAAAGAGUCGGAUUGUUUGGGAAUGCAGUCCAAAAUGGGUGGUAAAUUUCAUCUAAAGCUAAAUAUUGGCGAGAGACCGAUAGCGAACAAGUACCGUGAGGGAAAGAUGAAAAGAACUUUGAAAAGAGAGUUAAACAGUACGUGAAAUUGUCAAAAGGGAAGCGUUUGACACCAGUGUUGUUUUUCUGAAAAUCAAUUAAAGAACUGUUUAUGCUAAGUUGUUUAGACUUUAUCAGCUAUCUGUUUAGUUUUGAGCUUUUCUUUAAUGCACUUUUCAGUUAACAAGUCAACAUCAAUUUCUUUUGCUGUAAAAAAGCUUGAGGAAGGUGGCUUGAGAUUCGUCUUAAGUGUUUAUAGCCUCUUGCCUAUGCAGUCGGAGAGAUUGAGGUCUGCAGCGUAGAUCCUUCGGGGCUAAAUGCAUUUGUGCUAAGUUAUAGCAUUUUAUAGACAACUUGUUGACUAUGAUUUGUCUUGUAGCUUACUCGCUUAUGUUAUUUUACCUACGCUUAGGAUGUUGAGCGCAUGUCUCUCUCU